CAUGGACCACGCUGUGCCCCAGAAGCAGCCAGCAGCAGGUCCAGCUCCUAGGCAGAGGUGCGCAAGUGGCUUUGCGUGACUGUUGUCUGCAGGCACUGCCCCCACUCCCCAGUUCUCAUUGUCUGGUACCCAGCCAAUGGGCAUGCAGAGCUGGUGCUCAGGCAGGGGCAGUGCGCAGAGCUCUGUGGUCCCUGUCUUGAAGCUGGACCCACUGCUGGCUGCUUCCGGGGCACAGUGUGGUGUCAAAACAGGUAGGCACUAGCCUGCUUAGCUGGGCAGCGCCACCAAUGGGACUUUUAACCAGAGCGACCCAUGGCCUGACAUGCCAUGACUCAAAGUUUGAAAAACGCUGAUCUAGAGCACGAUUAAGACCAUGUACCACAUGAGCAAAGCUUGAAUCAUCAGCUUGCCUGUUCUCUGGCAGCAGGCUCAGCCCCUACACUGCCUGGGAAUUAAGAAAGAAUUGACUGUUCAUGUAAAGGUUACAGAUGGAUGGAAUGUGUACAGGAAUUCAGUGGGAAGAAAAUUAAAUCGGAAAGAGAACAGCUAAUCCAAGGGCUGGAUGGGCACUGUCUGGGAAGUCCUCACUCUGCUUUAAGGACCAGAGCCAAUAGCCAUUGCAGUCAAUGAGUGUCUUUCCAUUAACGCCAUGGGGCUUUGGGUCAGGACCUCCUGUAGUGUAGUGACCAUACUUCCAUGUGUUCUCUUUCCUAGUUCACUUUUGCUAUGCAGCUUAUAUUGAUUAGAUUCAUGUUUUCAAGGGUGGUGAUAAUUUUUGAUACUUUGCAAAGGCUCUGACUUUUUUAAUCUCACAAUAAUAUGGCUUUUGUUAGACAAAAUACGUAUCGUUUCUUUUAAGGAGUUUAGGCUGUUACAUGGGGCUAUUCCACUACCUGUGGCUCAAGGCAUGGUUAUAGAGCCACAGAUUUUAAGGUCAGAAGGGACCUCUGGUGGAACCCAAGCCAAAGAACCUCAUCCCCUCACCCCCUCUGCUGGUGUGCUGUAAAGGGACAUCUUCUGCAGUAUUGCUGUCAGGCUGUUCUUUAACAUUGUUUCCAAUAAAAUAUGGACAGAUACCAUGACCGUUGGUCUGAAAAUUGGCAAUGUAACUAAGCAGCUGCCACUCCAUUAAAGUCAAUGAAGUUACACCACUCACAAAGAGCUAUUACUCCAGACCAGAUGCAACUAAUGCUGGUAAUUAAAACUGUAGCAUAGGCAUGGAGAUUUUGGGGGAAAAUCACAGGCUGGGCAAGAAAAAAGGUGGGGGAUAAAAACCUAAGAUAUUGCUUUGUACUUAAAAUAGUCUCCUUUUCUAUUUGUUAUGUCAACAAUAAAAGAUCCCUCUUGCAUUGGAGAAGUA